UACGUAGGGAGCAAGCGUUGUCCGGAUUUACUGGGUGUAAAGGGUGCGUAGGCGGCAAGGCAAGUCAGGCGUGAAAUCUGUGGGCUUAACCCACAAACUGCGCUUGAAACUGUCUUGCUUGAGUGAAGUAGAGGUAGGCGGAAUUCCCGGUGUAGCGGUGAAAUGCGUAGAGAUCGGGAGGAACACCAGUGGCGAAGGCGGCCUACUGGGCUUUAACUGACGCUGAAGCACGAAAGCAUGGGUAGCAAACAGG
rnacentral:rRNA from 1 species